rnacentral:rRNA from 1 species
AGCGGCCUACGGGGGGCAGCAGUAGGGAAUUUUCGUCAAUGGGCGCAAGCCUGAACGAGCAAUGCCGCGUGAACGAGGAAGGUCUUCGGAUCGUAAAGUUCUGUUGAAGGGGAAAAAGAGCGGAGCGAGGAAAUGGUCUCCGAUUGAUAUUACCCUUCGAGGAAGUCACGGCUAACUACGUGCCAGCAGCCGCGGUAAUACGUAGGUGGCGAGCGUUAUCCGGAAUGAUUGGGCGUCAAGGGUGCGUAGGCGGCCUGCUAGGUCUGGAGUGAAAGGUAACGGCUCAACCGGUA